AACUAAGAGAGAGGGCAGCCUGAGUAACUUACAGUGGAGAGCUGCCUGGAGGCAGCUUACAGUGGAGAGCUGUAAGUUAACCAACCCCACCCAGCACUUGGAGGCAAAGGCAGGUGAAUCUCUGAGUUCAUGGCAAAAACAAAAAGAAGACAAGAAAAAAGGAAGCUAAAAAUCGUGUUGGGAAUGGAUGUAGCUUAAACAAAACAACCAUGUUUCAGUCAGCAAAACAAACAUUAAACAGCGUCACAAAUAAGCACAGUUGUUUUUAUCUUGUGUUACAUUAGCAAGAACUUUUCUUCUCCCAUCCCAGUGCUUAUGCAGUCACCUCAGAGGCACAUGCUUUUAAUCCAAGGCAGAGGCAAGCCUGAGUUCAAGGCCAGCCUCGGCUACAGGGUUCCUGGAUAGCCAGGGCUACAUAGAGAAACUCUGUCUUGAAAAACCAAACAAAACACAAAGUGAAAAUACAGAGUUCUUCAGUUUUUCGGAAUGGCAAUAUUAUAGUUACAGAGGGAAGUUUGAGUAUAUCUUAAACAAGUAAUGGGCCCUUCAGCAGGUUACUAGCCUUGGCUUUCUCAUUUGUAGAGUGGGACACUAACCUUACCUUACGUGGUGGUUUGGAGAAUGCAAUUACAUGUGUUUUCAUCUGCCUACCUCAAUAUUUAGCAUGUGGAGAUUUUUCAACAAUUAUAAAAUUAUGUGAAAUUUUUUCUUUGCAUCUAGAUCUUUAAGUACUGUUUUGGUUCAGUUGUCAUUAAUUUGAAUUUAGGGCCUUGCAUAUAUUAGGUAAGUGCUCUGUCACUAUUAGUGGACUACUUAGGCCAUUUUUCCCAAGUUCACAUAUUUUACUUUCUUUACCUAAUUGACUCAUGGUAAUAUCCUUUUAGAUUCAUAGUUUUCUGUCUGUGUCUGUCUCCUCCUAAAUUCUCAUGUAGUCAGGUUUGACACUGAAUUCCUUAUCCUCCAGUCUGGUCUUGUUGCUACAGGAAUGCCCAUUCAUUCCCCAAAGGUAGUUUUUCUUUGUGUAAAACUUAGUGUUUUCUGACGGGCAGGUGGCGCAUACCUUUGAUCCCAGCACUUGGGAAGCAGAGGCAGAUGGGUUUCUGAGUUUGAGACCAGCCUGGUCUACAGAGUGAGUUCCAGGACAGCCAGGGCUACACAGAAAAACCCUGUAUCAAAACAACCAAAAACCAAAAAACAAAACAACAACAACAACAAACCCUUAGUGUUUUCUGAUAGAAGUGAAUCUUAAUUGUAUUAGUGACCCUUGUCACAGAUUACAAGGAAUGCUGGCUUCCUCAGAAUCGUGAAGCUCCAGUGCCCAUUGGUUCUCUAUGACGCUCAGAGCUUCGUUAUUCUGUCUGGAUCUGAGCAGCACUCUGGUGCAUAUAAGAUGCUUGAGGUAGACUUUGAGUUUUGAAAUGGUAGAGGCUGCUUACCACAAAUCUGUUUUAACCAGGAGUGGCAGAACGUCUGAUUCUUUAGGCUUUUCUUUCUUGUAAAAUUAAAAAGAAUUGUUUAAUUAAGUGCACAUGAGUACAGGUGCCCAUGGAGACCAGAAAGGGGACAUCAGUGCCCUCGAUCUGGAAGGCUGGGGUAAGUCACCUCACAUGGGUGUUGUGAGCCAAACUUGGGCUCCGGAAGAGCAGCAAGUGCUAUAUCUGCUGAGCCAUCCCUCCAACCCCUAAAAUUUAUUUUAAAAGAAGUUACCUUUAUCAUCAUACUUUUCUGUCCAUUGUUUUUGAAACAGACAAAAAGCCAAGGAGUUUUCAAAUAGCAUUCUCUACUUGUAGAGAUAUAGAUGGGUGUAAACCAUGAGGAUGGUUACUUUCUGUUUUAUUUUAGAAUUCAGAAGUUUUGGAGUUGACUGAUAGGCCUCUCCAACAUUUCUCUCCACAUGUGCUUGUGUGUACAGGCGUAUUUGUAUGUACUUGUGUGUACAUGCCAGUGUUGUGCUUGCUGAGUAGGCUAAACUGGCUAGCUGGCCAGUGAGCUUUAGGUAUGACCGUAAUUCUCCUUUCCCAGCCCUGGGACUGUACAUGUAGGCCUCUGUCUGGUUUUUACACAUGGCCAGGAGAGUAAACUCAUGUACCAAAUGCAUGCACAUGAGCACUAGUUAUGAGAUGUCACAGUUUCUUGCAAAGAAUCCAAAGCCUUUAUAAAUUACUGAAUGUCUAGUGGGAAUGCUACCCCUCUGGAAGAGAGGAGCUGAUGUAAGCGGUAUUUUGAAUGAGGUUGGAAGCUGGUGCCAAGAGGGCAUGGAUACAUUGUUCAAGUGAGAAGGUGGGAACUGGAAGAAACCAGGUGUGCUAAGUGUAUACUUUUGUGUCUUGUCUAUUAUUGAAGAUGAGCAGUUCAGAAGCUAAGAAAAACAGCACUGUGCAUUGUAGUGUGGCUUUUGUAAUAAUACUGUGUGGAUACAAAUAUUGGCAGCAAUGGAUUCUCUUAUCACCAUCAUUUUAGACAUGUAAAGAAACAGAAUAACAUUGACUUGGUGCCAGACUGUAAGUUCAGAACUACUUUAUUGUCUCUGGCUGACCAGGGGUGGCCACAGGGAAGAAAAUGCAGCUGUAGGCUGAAUUGACAGGCUGAAAGGGAAAGUGUGUAGAGGCCAGGCACAGAACCUGUAGGCUUCUCAGUUCUUACUUAGUAGAGAAGAGACUUUACUAGAAACUGAAAUAAACAGAAAUUAGCAGUAGAAGCUAGCUAGUUGGUGCCGAGGCUGCUGUUAGGAGGGGUGAGACCAUACUGAAGAGGGAUAGGAAGGGCAGGUGCAGUUCAUUGCUUGCCACAGUCUUCCUUCCUCCCUGUCAUCAGGUGGGUGUGGUGGAUGUGCUGUGCUGUCACGCUGGAUUGAAAUGACGGAGGAGUGGGUGUCCUUUCUUUACCUUUUCUUCCAUUUGUGGAGUCAAGUCUGAAGGUUGGAGGUCUUUUGGGGAAGUAGACAUAGGUUCAAAGGAUCUAGUCCCUGAUUGUUCGGGAGAUAGCUCAGUUGGUAAAGUGCUUGCGAGGUCCUGCUGCUUGGGUAGCUGGUUCAUGCCUGUGCAAGCAUGCGGCCCUGAGGUAGGUUACAGGUGAAUGCCUGGGCUCACUGGGCGGCUAGCCUCACCUAGUCGGGAAGCCCCAGGGCUUCGAUAGACCGUCUCAGAAAACCUAGGUGACAGUGCGUGGGGACUAACACUCAAGGUUAGUCUCCGGCCUCCACACAGAAGUGCAUCCAUGGGCGCCUGCACACGCACCACAUGGACACACACCUGCUCUCUAAGUAAACAAACGGGUUCCAGGUAGAAGCAAAGUGUGCACUAAACAGGGACAUACCAAGUGGACUGGAAUUUUGGCUGAAGCUACUGAAAAUUUGGGGUUUAGCAGUUAAUGGUGUCACAGCUGCAAGCCAUUGAGUAGAUGAAGUGCUUGAGAUCCUAAGAAUAUCUGUAAGAAUGGUAGCUGAGGUGGGUGAUGCUGAGCUGCUGCUGAUACAGAUACACAGAGUAUACGCCGUGGAUUCAGCGAGGGCCAUUGGCCAAGCCUGAGAUGCCUGUGAGGACGCACAGGGUAGUCCUUGAGUCUGUAUUUCGAUGAAUGCUGAUAGUAUCCAUGCCAUGAAAGUUUUGUCUUGUAGCAGACAUUGCCAUAAGAACUAGGAUUAGAAGAGUUCUCUUAAAGCAGAAUGUCCUGUCCUGGCACGCAGUGUUUCAGCUGGGUGAUGAUUUGGUUAUGUGUUCCUGCGUGUUAGAGAAUGGGUUACCCCAUCCCUGAACCCACUAGAUUCCAGGAAUACUCUCGUAAUUGUAACAGCUAGAAAAUGUUUCAAGACAUUGCUAAAUGUCCUCUGGGAUAGUAGAGACACUACCUUAAAGACAGAGUGAACCUGUAAGCUAUAGAAAAUCCCUCUCUUUAGUUAAAGAGCUUUCCCUUCUGUUAGGGAAUAGAUGAGGGUUCAUGGGAGGUUGUUUAUGGAUGUGGAGUGAAGGAAAUGUGCAUUGUUUUUGUAAAGGUUAUAGUUUCUGUUGGAUUUUUAUUUAUUUUUUCCUUUUGAGACAAGAUCUCAUUGUUGAGCUAUGGCUGGCCUGUGUCGUCUAGGCAGGGCCCCAACUCCAUGUGAUCCUUUUGUUUUUGUACCACCAUGUCUGACUUGUUGACUCUUGACCCAUUCUUAGUUCUAUCAGUUUCAUAUUUAGUUUCCUUCAAACAGCAAGAAAGCUACCAGUUAGCUGAGCCCAAAUGAAGACAUUACUGAAGUUUUUCAUUUUUUUCUAUAUUUUUCCUCCUAAUUAUGGGUACUUUGUAUUUCCUAUUUAAACACAGUUUCCGCUAUGUAACCCUAUCUCUGCAUUAUGUCCUGAGGUUGCUUAUAAUUGAUAAAAGCAAGUAAUGUUGACACUAUGACUAUGUAACUAUUAUUUAUGGCUGGGUCAGGUAGUAUGCAUAGAUUGUGAUUCCUUUUCUGUAGAUUUUAUUAUGUAGUCCCCGAGUAAUU
rnacentral:lncRNA from 1 species